rnacentral:rRNA from 1 species
GACGUAGGGCGCGAGCGUUGUCCGGAUUUAUUGGGCGUAAAGAGCUCGUAGGCGGCUUGUCGCGUCGUCCGUGAAAACUUGGGGCUCAACCCCAAGCUUGCGGUCGAUACGGGCAGGCUGGAGUUCGGUAGGGGAGACUGGAAUUCCUGGUGUAGCGGUGAAAUGCGCAGAUAUCGGAAGGAACACCGAUGGCGAAAGCAGCGUGCUGGACCUUUUCUGACGCUGAGGCGCGAAAGCCAGGGGAGCAAACGGG